GAAUCUUCGGCAAUGGGCGCAAGCCUGACCGAGCGACGCCGCGUGGAGGACGAAGGCCUUCGGGUUGUAAACUCCUGUCGAGGGGGAGAAAGGCUCCGCGAGGGGCUUGAUCGAUCCCUGGAGGAAGCACGGGCUAAGGUCGUGCCAGCAGCCGCGGUAAGACGAACCGUGCGAACGUUAUUCGGAAUCACUGGGCUUAAAGCGCGUGUAGGCGGAUCGGUGCGUCGGCGCCUGAAAUCCCCCGGCUCAACCGGGGAACGCGGCCCGAAACGACCGGUCUGGAGGGGUGUAGGGGGGACUGGAACUUCCGGUGGAGCGGUGAAAUGCGUUGAGAUCGGAAGGAACGCCCGUGGCGAAAGCGAGUCCCUGGACGCCUGCUGACGCUGAGACGCGAAAGCCAGGGGAGCGAACGG
rnacentral:rRNA from 1 species